GAUGAACGCUGGCGGCGUGCCUAAUACAUGCAAGUCGAGCGAACGGACGAGAAGCUUGCUUCUCUGAUGUUAGCGGCGGACGGGUGAGUAACACGUGGAUAACCUACCUAUAAGACUGGGAUAACUUCGGGAAACCGUAGCUAAUACCGGAUAAUAUUUUGAACCGCAUGGUUCAAAAGUGAAAGACGGUCUUGCUGUCACUUAUAGAUGGAUCCGCGCUGCAUUAGCUAGUUGGUAAGGUAACGGCUUACCAAGGCAACGAUGCAUAGCCGACCUGAGAGGGUGAUCGGCCACACUGGAACUGAGACACGGUCCAGACUCCUACGGGAGGCAACAGUAGGGAAUCUUCCGCAAUGGGCGAAAGCCUGACGGAGCAACGCCGCGUGAGUGAUGAAGGUCUUCGGAUCGUAAAACUCUGUUAUUAGGGAAGAACAUAUGUGUAAGUAACUGUGCACAUCUUGACGGUACCUAAUCAGAAAGCCACGGCUAACUACGUG
rnacentral:rRNA from 1 species